rnacentral:misc_RNA from 1 species
UUUUUUUUUUUUAAAUGAGUUGCUCAAAGGAGAAUAACUCUUCCCCCUCUCAUGAUUCUCCUACCAACCCAGGAAGAAAAUAUAUGAAGUAGGAUCAUAAAAAUAUUUCAGCUUCUUAGUUUUGUUCAUAAAACAGUGGUCUUUCUUUACGCCUCAGGUAAAACCUGUAAAUCUUUCUUGUAUUCUUUGAAGAUCCAGAUGUUAUUCCUCUGUUCCAGUUUAUAUCACUUGAAACUUAUCUCCAGUAGUUCAUAGAAUUAGAAGUUUCUGUUGACAUUCAUAUACAGAAAGAGAGGGGCCUCACAUGGUAAUAGGUGAAGAGAGUUGACAAUAUAAAGUGAAAGGGGAAAAGAAAUGGCUAUUCUGAUGGAGGAAAAAGAGGAUUCAGUUCAAGAAAAGCAUUUUGGAAUAGAGAUGCAGGUGAGUAAUGAGGUUAUGGGUAGGAAAAAGAUGGUGAAGAAAAGCUGGGUUGAAUCAAAGAAGAUGUGGGAAAUAGCAGCACCUGCUAUGUUGACAGCAGUAGCCCAAUUCUCUAUUGGGUUCGUCAGUUCUGCAUUUGUUGGCCAUUUGGGAGAGGUGGAGCUGGCUGCUGUUUCCAUUGUUCAGAAUGUAAUUGAAGGGUUUGUUUAUGGUGUGAUGCUAGGGAUGGGAAGUGCACUGGAGACACUAUGUGGGCAAGCUGUUGGUGCUGGACAACUCAACAUGCUUGGAAUCUAUAUGCAAAGAUCAUGGAUCAUUACUGGUGUCACUGCAUUGGUUUUAACACCUUUUUAUGUUUUUGCUUCACCAUUACUAAAACUCCUUCAUCAAGACAAGGAUAUUUCAAGGCUUGCAGGAAAGUACUCGAUAUGGGUGAUUCCUCAAUUGUUUGCUUAUGCCAUAAAUUAUCCAAUACAGAAGUUUCUCCAAGCACAGAGCAGAGUAUGGAUUAUGACAAUCAUUUCCAUAGUAGCCCUUGCAUUUCAUGUGUUGUUGAAUUGGGUGCUCGUCACAAAAUUGGAUCACGGGCUACUUGGUGCUGCCAUCGCAGGGAAUAUCUCAUGGUGGCUUGUGGAUUUGGGUCAAAUAGUUUAUGUGGUUUGUGGUUGCUUCCCUGAGACUUGGACCGGUUUUUCGUGGUCAGCUUUGAAGUCAUUAACCAGUUUUCUAAAACUCUCAAUUGUAUCCGCUGUAAUGUUAUGCUUGGAGGUGUGGUACUUUACAAUGGUGAUUCUUAUGGUGGGAUGGUUAGAGAAUCCAGAAAUUGCAGUAGAUGCCAUUUCCAUUUGCAUGAACCUGCAACUGUGGACUAUGAUGAUUGCUCUCGGUUUCAAUGCAGCAAUAAGGUUAGUAGCUUCUGUACUGGAACAUAAAGCAGUGACUAACAAUAAGAGAACGAAUUUAGUCUAACCAAUCCAACUUGAUUUGCUUGCAAUGUUCGAGUGUCAAAUGAGCUUGGAGCUGGAAAUCCUAAAGCAGCAAAGUUCUCAAUGGUGGUGACUGUUCUAACUGCAACAGCAAUUGGAGUUGUGUUCACAGCUUUGAUUCUGGUAACCAAGAAUGACUUUCCAAAGGUGUUCACUGGUAAA